rnacentral:tmRNA from 1 species
GGGGGCGUAAUAGAUUCGACUUAAUCGUUGAAAAUUAUAUAUGCAAGCAGUAGUUGAUCAGUUGGCUACUAUAAAAGCUGAUUAAAACAAAUAAAUGCAGAAGAUAAUACUGAUGCUCUCUUAGCUGAAGCUGAUUACAUCUUCAACAACGCCGACGAGUUCCUCGCUGGUGUUGAGGAAGAGUUCUUACUCGCAGCAUAAGAACCGAAGGUAAUCCUAUUAACCCCUUCGGUAAAUCGCAAUAGGUUAGAGUGGUAUCUACGACACUCGUAAAAUAAGUGUAGGGGGUGGAUGUAGACUCUUCACUAUAUCAGGCAGACUAAAAAAGAUAGGUUGGUAAGCCACGAGAGCCUGUAGUCAAUCAAAUCUCAAAUUUACCAAAGCUUGUGUAGAAUAUAUGAUUCUCAAUAUUAAGGACAGGGAGGGCAGUUCUCCCUCGCCUCCACCA